UCUUUCAACUCCGCCGGGGCCAUACGGUAAGGGGGGAUAGAAAUAGGUUGAGUAUCGGGAAGGAGGUCUAUACCAAGAUCUAUCUCCCUUUCGGGAGGGACACCGGGAAGGUCUUCUGGGAAGACAUCUAGAAACUCAUUAACAACCGGAAUAGACUCAAUAGGAGGGACUUUAGACUCCACAUCAUUGACUCUCACAAUAUGGUACAAGCACCCUUUGGAAAUCAACCUAUGGGCUUUAAUGCAAGAAAUGAAUUUCCCCUUCACCACAACAUCCCGGCUCUCCCACUCAAGGACGGGUUCAUUAGGAAAUCGGAACUUGACUUUACGAGUCCUACAAUCAAUAGAAGCAUAAUAUGCAUGCAACCAAUCCAUCCCAAGAAUAACAUCAAAAUCCACCAUGUUCAACUCAACAAGAUCGCAAGGCAACAACUUAUUCAAUAUGCAAACCGGACAAUUUCUAUACACUUUUCUAGCAACAAUAGAGACACCAAUGGGAGUAGAUACUUCAUAUGACUCAUGCAACAAUUCCGACUCAACAUGAAAUUUUCUAGCAACUAAGGGGGUAACAAAGGAAAGGGUGGCACCCGGAUCAAUCAAAGUAUAAACAUCAAGAUCAAAGAUUUGCAACAUACCGGUCACCACAUUCGGGGUCUCAUUAACACCUUGUCUACCAUGCAAAGCAUAAAAUCGAUUGUCCCUUGGGGCACCACUUUGAGAAGCACCUCUACCCAAAGGAGUAGUGUUAGCACUUCGGACCUUGUUGCGGAUCUUGGGACACUCAAACCUCUUAUGACCCACUUCUCCACAUUCAAAGCAAGCACACGAACCCUUCAUGCAAGGACCACCAUGCUUCCUUCCACACUUAGGGCAUACCCACAAACUCAUAGUGCCCAUACCUAGUACGAAAGGCCGUUUUGGGAAUAUCACACUCCCUCACCUUCACUUGAUGAUACCCUGACCGAAGAUCAAUCUUAGAGAAGUGACUAGCCCCAUGCAAUUGGUCAAAUAAAUCGUCAAUCCUUGGAAGAGGAUACCUAUUCUUGACGGUGACCCUAUUAAGUUGUCGAUAAUCAAUACACAUUCUAAGAGACCCAUCUUUCUUCUUCACAAACAAAACCGGAGCACCCCAGGGAGAAUGACUAGGUCUAAUAAACCCCUUCUCUAACAAAUCUUUUAAUUGCUCUUUCAACUCUUUCAACUCCGCCGGGGCCAUACGGUAAGGGGGGAUAGAAAUAGGUUGAGUAUCGGGAAGGAGGUCUAUACCAAGAUCUAUCUCCCUUUCGGGAGGGACACCGGGAAGGUCUUCUGGGAAGACAUCUAGAAACUCAUUAACAACCGGAAUAGACUCAAUAGGAGGGACUUUAGACUCCACAUCAUUGACUCUCACAAUAUGGUACAAGCACCCUUUGGAAAUCAACCUAUGGGCUUUAAUGCAAGAAAUGAAUUUCCCCUUCAC
rnacentral:lncRNA from 1 species